UCAAAGCAACCGAGGCGUCCAAUACUCCAGGAAUGUAGCAGAUGCAAAAAGAGUUGAAGAGCACGAGGACUAUAAUCAACAAAAUCAGGAUAUCAUUGUCAGUACACAAUCUAAAAUAGCCACGCAGUGCUCGAGCAAUGCUAAGAUUGACGGGUAUGGUACUUUUCCCGAUCUUGGUUCCCAGAAUCAAGAAGCGCAGUCAGUCGUUCACCAAAGUCAAUCAUUUGAAGGUGGUUCGUUUGAGACCGACGGAGCGAGACUUCAAUUGGAUAAUGGGAAUUCUAUUACGCAACGCCCGCAACGUGAUAAAAAAAUGCCAAAUAGAUUGAAAGAUAUGAUUUUAUAUCAUAUUUUCGACUAGGUUGAAGAACAUCACAGUCAAAGAAUUGACAAAUCGUCAAUGGAAGCAACAGAUUAUGCGAUUAAUACCUUGGGACGCUCUAAGUGAAUUGUCAAACUCAUCGAUUGAAAUGGCUCUGCUCCUCUACGCAUAAAAAAAGUGUUUUGCAUUAAUUGAAACUUAGCAUUAAGAGUACGAGAUUAAUCAAUGAUACUUAUUGUUUCUAAUCACAAGAGUUUAAAACAUUUAUUAAAAAAAAAACAAGAAACCUUACGAAAAUGAUAAUAAAUAACAACUUUUAUAGACAUUAAAAUUUUGAGUAAAUCAUAUUAUUAUGUAUUAAGACAGCUCUAUUUGUAGAGUAGGGGUGAGAUGAAUUGUAGCAGCGGACAUUGCAGAACAAAAAAAAUAUAUAUAUAUUCAUAAAUUGCCAAAUCCAUUGUAUCCCUUUCGAGAAAGAAAACACGGAUACUUCAA